rnacentral:rRNA from 1 species
UACGUAGGGGGCAAGCGUUGUCCGGAUUUAUUGGGCGUAAAGAGCGUGUAGGCGGCCAGACAGGUCCGUUGUGAAAACUGGAGGCUCAACCUCCAGACGUCGAUGGAAACCGUCUGGCUAGAGUCCGGAAGAGGAGAGUGGAAUUCCUGGUGUAGCGGUGAAAUGCGCAGAUAUCAGGAAGAACACCCGCGGCGAAGGCGGCUCUCUGGGACGGUACUGACGCUGAGACGCGAAAGCGUGGGGAGCGAACAGG